rnacentral:rRNA from 1 species
UACGUAGGUGGCAAGCGUUGUCCGGAAUCAUUGGGCGUAAAGCGCGCGCAGGCGGUCCUUUAAGUCUGAUGUGAAAUCUUGCGGCUCAACCGUAAGCGGUCAUUGGAAACUGGGGGACUUGAGUGCAGGAGAGGAAAGCGGAAUUCCAUGUGUAGCGGUGAAAUGCGUAGAGAUAUGGAGGAACACCAGUGGCGAAGGCGGCUUUCUGGCCUGUAACUGACGCUGGAGGCGCGAAGGCUGGGGUAGCGAACAGG